GACGAACCUUGCUAACGUUAUUCGGAAUUACUGGGCUUAAAGGGUGCGUAGGCGGUGCAGAAAGUUGGGUGUGAAAGCCCUCGGCUCAACCGAGGAAUUGCGCCCAAAACUACUGCACUAGAGGAAGACAGAGGUACGCGGAACUUAGGGUGGAGCGGUGAAAUGCGUUGAUAUCCUAAGGAACACCGGUGGCGAAAGCGGCUCACUGGGUCUUUUCUGACGCUGAUGGACGAAAGCUAGGGGAGCGAACGGG
rnacentral:rRNA from 1 species